UACGGAGGGUGCAAGCGUUAUCCGGAUUUACUGGGUUUAAAGGGUGCGCAGGCGGAUAUGUAAGUCAGUGGUGAAAAUCUCUAGGCUUAACCUGGAAAUUGCCGUUGAUACUAUAUAUCUUGAAAUGCUGUGGAGGUAAGCGGAAUAUGUCAUGUAGCGGUGAAAAUGCUUAGAUAUGACAUAGAAACACCUAUUUGCGAAGGCAGCUCACUACACAAUUAUUUGACGCUGAGGCACGAAAAGCGUGGGGAUC
rnacentral:rRNA from 1 species